rnacentral:rRNA from 1 species
ACGGAAUAGAUACCCUGGUAGUCCCAGCUGUAAACGAUGCAGGCUAGGUGUUUGGACGGCCACGUGCCGUUCUAGUGCCGCAGGGAAGCUGUUAAGCCUGCCGCCUGGGGAGUACGAUCGCAAGAUUGAAACUUAAGGGAAUUGGCGGGGGAGCACCACAAGGGGUGAAGCUUGCGGUUUAAUUGGAGUCAACGCCGGAAAUCUCACCGGGAGCGACAGCAGUGUGAAGGCCAGAUUAAAGGUCUUGCCAGACGAGCUGAGAGGAGGUGCAUGGCCGUCGCCAGUUCGUGCCGUGAGGUGUCCUGUUAAGUCAGGCAACGAUCGAGACCCGCAUCCUCUGUUGCAACCAGUUUUGAGCUGGGCACACUGAGGAGACCGCCACUGAUAAAGUGGAGGAAGGAGCGGGCCACGGCAGGUCAGUAUGCCCCGAAUCUCCCGGGCCACACGCGAGCUGCAAUGGCAGGUACAAUGGUUCCGACCUCGAAAGGGGAAGGCAAUCUCGAAAACCUGCCGUAGUUGGGAUUGAGGGUU